rnacentral:rRNA from 1 species
GCUUGUCUCAAAGAUUAAGCCAUGCAUGUCUAAGUACAAGCCUCAGUAAGGUGAAACCGCGAAUGGCUCAUUAAAUCACACCUAAUCUACUGGAAAGUUACUAGUUACUUGGAUAACUGAGGUAAUUCUUGAGCUAAUACAUGCGAAAAAUCUCGACUCACGGAGAGAUGCUUUUAUUAGAUCAAAACCAAACGGCUUCGGCCGUCUCAUUGGUGACUCUGAAUAACUUUGGGCUGAUCGCAUGGCUUUGCCGGCGAUAUAUCUUCUAAGUUUCUGACCUAUCAGCUUUCGACGGUAAGGUAUUGGCUUACCGUGGCAAUGACGGGUAACGGAGAAUUAGGGUUCGAUUCCGGAGAGGGAGCCUGAGAAACGGCUACCACAUCUAAGGAAGGCAGCAGG